rnacentral:lncRNA from 1 species
CGAUCAGCAUAACCGAGACAGAGAAUAAUGGACAUAAUAAAACAACACUUAGGAAGAUCUAAAUGGAGAGUCUAAACUGCUGGGGCCACUGUCACAGGUAUGGGACUAAUGGAGGCACAGAAAAGAAAAGUGGAAACAUCUCUGAGUAACAGAGGCACAAUACGGGAAAUAUUGUAUU